UUAUUUUGAAUUUACACAUCCACUUCCUUGCAAGCACUGGCCACUUGUAGAUGACAUGAGAGCGUAUUGGGUUCCCUCGCUUCAGCAGCCCUUUCAACUUGUUCUUCUUGUUUUGACAAAUCAUAUUGCUGUAUUUGGCCCUCCUCUUAUUCUGCCUUUUCUUAAAUAUCAACAACAAUCUUCUGUCAAACACAGGUUGUGUGACUAGCCAAUGGUAAUUUUCUCCCCAAACACAAGAUCAUUGUGCUGGUGUGUGCACUGUCAUGAGUGUCUUUCUUCAGGAUUCGAAGCCUUUUUUGACAUAACCUCCACUGUUUUGUAUUUCUCUUCCUUAGGCUCAGCAGACGCCCUCUUCUUACCCUUCAUCUUCACUCUUAAGUCUGUACUUAAACAUCCAGCUCUUUGGGUACUUCCUCUGUUUCAGCUUCAAAUUAGCGUUGAUCAUUCCUAAACACACUCCUGGAGCCGCUUGCAGUCUGUCUUAGUCAACUCUCUUCUUCAUUGUCUCUUAUUUUUCUCCUCCACAAACAGUAGUACUGUUGUGUGCCAUAACCAUAUUCUCCAGCUUGUCUCUCUGCUCUCUACACUUGUGUCUGAACUUAUGCUUCUUCCAAUAUCACAACUUCCUCCAAAACCUCUUUGAGUACUCCUCCUCAUUAAUCUCUUCUCUGGUCUAUUAGAGGUUUUAAGCAUCUGAGAUUUUAUCAAUAAAUAAAAGUGGGUUUCAGUAAUUAUAUACACCAAUUGAUAAAUGUCGUCCAUCCUAAAAGACACGACCAAACUAAAAGUGAAAAUGUAUGUAUGCCUAGGUUUGUUUUGGUUUCACACAUGAUCCAUCGUUCAAACUAAUUAGUUCUAAAAAUCAACUUAAAAUAGAAAGUAGAACACUUAACCAUCUCGAGACACAGACUGAUGGUUAGGAGCUUUAGUCAGCUUACAAAUCUUAGCUAAUUCAUAUCUAAGCUAACAUAUGUAAGCUAAUUCACUAUAUAAACAUAGAUAAUGCGGUGUAAAUUUUUACAAACCACAACACAAACACACAAAAAAAAAAAAAAACACUCUCUCAAUUCUCAAACAUGUCUUCUGACAAAAGCCAAACAGCCUGCGAAGCCAUUCUGAGUAUGGUCUCGAAGAUGGCUGAAGGCCCCGAGAAGAAGAAAUUGUUGGAAGCAGCUUACCAGUGCUGCUGCAACGACAAGAGGAGCAGGUGCGUAGCUGAAAAGCUUAUCAAGUCGAUCUACGCCGCCUCCGCCAAAAAGAAGUAGAG
rnacentral:lncRNA from 1 species